AAAUCUUCUUUAGCUUCGUUUGGUAUGGUCAGCAGGUCAGCCAGCCAGGCUCCUCAUUAGCACAGAUCUCUGAACUCUAAGUUAAAAGAAAGACAUUGAGUCUCAAGCCAACGUUUCUGCAUCACUUAUUCAGGAUGGUGAUCUUGGUGGGAUGAGGGUUUCUGUUUGGUUUGGUCUGCAGGUCUCUGUGUCCCUGUGUCCUGAAGUUUGAUGAUAACUCAACAGAACUUGCCACCCUCAUCGAAUUCAACAAGAAGUUUCAGGAGAAGACCCACCAACUGAUUGAGAGUGGGCAAUAUGACACAAGGGAAGAUUUUACAGUGGUUGUGCAGCCGUUCUUUGAAAACGUGGACAUGCCAAAGACCUCGGAAGGAUUGCCUGACAACUCUUUCUUCGCUCCUGACUGUUUCCACUUCAGCAGCAAGUCUCACUCCCGAGCAGCCAGCGCCCUCUGGAACAAUAUGCUGGAGCCUGUUGGCCAGAAGAUGACAUGUCAUAAGUUUGAAAACGAGAUCAAUAUCACAUGUCCGAACCAGGUCCAGCCAUUUCUCAGGACCUACAA
rnacentral:sRNA from 1 species